rnacentral:tRNA from 1 species
GGCUUAGCUCAAUGGUAGAGCACCCGCCUUGUAAGCGGAAGGUUAUGAGUUCGAGUCUCCUAGCC